rnacentral:sRNA from 1 species
UGCUUGCCUACUUUGCGUUAGGGAUUGAAGUGGAUACCCCACAGCGAGGAACGAGCGAGGAGUAGAAACGGAAAGCCCGACCGACG